GCCUAACACAUGCAAGCCGAACGGGACUGUUCAAUCGGAAGUUUUCGGACGGAAGAAUGGACGGUUUAGUGGCGAACGGGUGAGUAACGCGUGAGUAACCUGCCUUUCAGAGGGGGACAACAGUUGGAAACGACUGCUAAUACCGCAUAAGCCCACGGUGUCACAUGGCACAGUGAGAAAAGGAGAAAUCCGCUGAAAGAUGGACUCGCGUCUGAUUAGAUAGUUGGUGGGGUAACGGCCUACCAAGUCGACGAUCAGUAGCCGGACUGAGAGGUUGAACGGCCACAUUGGGACUGAGAGACGGCCCAGACUCCUACGGGAGGCAGCAGUGGGGAAUAUUGCACAAUGGGGGGAACCCUGAUGCAGCGACGCCGCGUGAAGGAAGAAGGUAUUCGUAUUGUAAACUUCUGACGCAGAUGACGAAGAUAAUGACGGUAAUCUGCAAGAAAGCACCGGCUAACUACGUGCCAGCAGCCGCCGUAACAC
rnacentral:rRNA from 1 species